ensembl:snoRNA
AUCCUUUUGUAGCUCCUAAGCGUGGUAAUUGGAUUUUCACGCUCAUGUAUCAGAUGUGCUUCCCUCAAACCUUGUUACAUCAGCACAUUACUUGUCUGAUU